rnacentral:rRNA from 1 species
UACGGGGGGGGCAAGCGUUGUUCGGAAUUACUGGGCGUAAAGGGCGCGUAGGCGGUGCUCUAAGUUAGAUGUGAAAACUCUGGGCUCAACCCAGAGCCUGCAUCUAAAACUGGAGUGCUAGAGUUCUGGAGGGGGUAGCGGAAUUCCUGGUGUAGCGGUGAAAUGCGUAGAUAUCUGGAGGAACACCGGUGGCGAAGGCGGCGUCCUGGACCAACACUGACACUGAUGAGCGAAAGCCAGGGGAGCAAACGGG